rnacentral:lncRNA from 1 species
AUGGCCUAUUUAGGCCCAUACCCUACGUCACGGCAGCCUCCACAGAUGAGGCUACUGCCUCACAACAGCCUCCACAGGCACAGCUCCAUCGUUACAAUGGCCUCUUUAGACCCAGCUCCUGCCUCCCAGCCUUCUCUCCAGGCCCUGAACUUUCUCAAGUCGACCUCACCAGGCCCAGCUCCUGCAUCUUGGUGGCCCCUCCAGGCCCAGCCUCUGCCUCCCGUCAGCCUCUACAGUCCCAACGUCUGCCUCACAGCAGAUUCUUCACGCCCAGCAUCUACCUCACUGUGGACCCCCCAAGCCAAGCUCCCAACCUUUCAGCAGCUUCUACACACCCAGCUCCUGCCACCCAGUGGCCUCUUUAGGCCAAGCUCAUGCUUCACAAGGGCCUUUCCAGGCCCAACUUUUGUCUCAUGGCAACCUUCCCUGGCCAGAUUCCUGCCUGUCUCCCAGCAGCCUAGACAGGCCCAGGUCUUGCCUCACACUGGCCUCUCUACAUCCAGCUUAUGCCUCACGGUGGCCUCUCCACGCCCAACUCCUGUCCCAGGACGUCAUCUCCGGGCCCAAAACUUACUCAAGUCAGACUCUCUAGUCCCAACUACUGCCUCCUGGUGGCCUAUGAAGGCCCAAAAUCUCCUCAAGUUGACCUGUCCAGGCCCAGCUCCUGCCUCCUGUCAGCGUCUACAGGCCCAACCUCUGCCUCAUGGGGGCUUCUCCAGACCCACCUCUUCCUCUUGGCUGGGUCUACAGGCACAACUGCUGCCUCACAACAGCCUUUUUUGGCCCAGUUCCUGUCCAGCUCAUGGCGGCCAAUGUAGGCCCAAAACUUCCUCAAGUCAAACUCUCCAGGCCCACCUUCUGCUUCCCGGUGGCAUCAACAGGCCCAGCUUUGACUUGAGAACAGCCUCUGCAGGCCCUGCUCUUGCCUCCCAGGGGCUUUUUCCAGGCCCAGCUCUUGCCUCAUGGCAGCUGCCCCAGGCCAAAUUUCUGCCUGCCUGCCAGCAGCCUCAACAGGCACAGCUCCUCCCUCACAGUGGCCCAUUUAGGCCCAACUCAUGA